rnacentral:rRNA from 1 species
GACGAACGCUGGCGGCGUGCUUAACACAUGCAAGUCGAACGGAAAGGCCCAGCUUGCUGGGUGCUCGAGUGGCGAACGGGUGAGUAACACGUGGGUGAUCUGCCUCUAACUUCGGGAUAAGCUUGGGAAACUGGGUCUAAUACCGGAUAGGACAAUCGUUUAGUGUCGGUUGUGGAAAGUUUUUUCGGUUAGGGAUGAGCCCGCGGGCUAUCAGCUUGUUGGUGGGGUAAUGGCUUACCAAGGCGUCGACGGGUAGCCGGCCUGAGAGGGUGGACGGCCACAUUGGGACUGAGAUACGGCCCAGACUCCUACGGGAGGCAGCAGUGGGGAAUAUUGCACAAUGGGCGCAAGCCUGAUGCAGCGACGCCGCGUGGGGGAUGACGGCCUUCGGGUUGUAAACCUCUUUCGCCAGGGACGAAGCUUUGGUGACGGUACCUGUAUAAGAAGCACCGGCUAACUACGUG